AGAUUCUCAUAGGAUCACCAGUCCCUGGUGCCAAAAAGGUUGGUGACCGCUGCUACACCACUGUCUACAUCAUAUACCUCAGCCAGGUUGUCUGGUCUGGAAUUCCGCAUCCUGCGUCCCUGGCCUGAGAAAGAAGGUGUAGGGCAGGGCAGAGAAACCAAAUGCAGCAUGAGAGGCUCUUCUGCACAGAGUCGCACCAUCCUAGGCUGCAGUGUGGAAAAUUUCUCAUGUGCUGUAUGGCAGACUACAGACUGCGAAUGGCUUCCAGAACAAUCAAACCAAACGGGAUACAAAAUGGAAUGUACACUAUGAUUACAACUCUGCUAAAAUAUAUCUGCCAAUGGACCAACACUGGAAAUGAAUAAGCAAAAAUAACAGCUGUGUGAUAUGGUGAUGAGAAAGCUGAGUUUUAAAGGGGGAAAUUCACUUUGCCUGAGGUCAUCCAGCCAAUUAAGAAUAAAGUUGGAAUUCAAAGCCAGAGUCGGUCUGACCCUAAGGAUUCAUGCUCUUAACACCACUUUAUCCUAUCUGUACAUAAUUCAAAGGCUGCUGGGAGGUGCAAGUCACCUAGGUUUUGGCUCAUCUGGUCAAGAUCAGUUGAACCUGGCUCCAGGCCAUGAGUGGAGUUCAAGUCUGCUUCACGUCUCUCAUUCCUCAGUGACUGGUAGGCUGCCCAAGGCAUAGUCUUCACAUGGCAAAAGUGGAAGCCCAGGAGAGCAGACCUAAUGCCGAAAUGUGUAAAGUCUCUGUGCACAUUACAACUACUAACAUUUCGUUGGCCAAAUAAAGCCACAUGGUCAAGAAAGUUGAUUGUAUAACUUGAUCAUAACUAUGUAAAAAUAGUUUUGUGAAUCAACAAAGAAUAGAAAUAAAUAAGCAAAAUGAAAAAAGAAA